UGAUGGGCGAAAGCCUGACGGAGCAACGCCGCGUGAGUGAUGAAGGUCUUCGGAUCGUAAAACUCUGUUAUUAGGGAAGAACAUACGUGUAAGUAACUAUGCACGUCUUGACGGUACCUAAUCAGAAAGCCACGGCUAACUACGUGCCAGCAGCCGCGGUAAUACGUAGGUGGCAAGCGUUAUCCGGAAUUAUUGGGCGUAAAGCGCGCGUAGGCGGUUUUUUAAGUCUGAUGUGAAAGCCCACGGCUCAACCGUGGAGGGUCAUUGGAAACUGGAAAACUUGAGUGCAGAAGAGGAAAGUGGAAUUCCAUGUGUAGCGGUGAAAUGCGCAGAGAUAUGGAGGAACACCAGUGGCGAAGGCGACUUUCUGGUCUGUAACUGACGCUGAUGUGCGAAAGCGUGGGGAUCAAACAGGAUUAGAUACCGGGGUAAGUCCCAAA
rnacentral:rRNA from 1 species